UCUACGUAAACAAGUUGAAGAAUUGUCUGA
rnacentral:piRNA from 1 species